CAAUAGCGUAUAUUAAAGUUGUUGCAGUUAAAAAGCUCGUAGUUGGAUUUCUGGUUGAAGCGACCGGUCGGGCGUUGAUUCGUCUGCACUGGAGUCGGUUUUGGCCAUCCUCUAGGAAAGUGCGUCUGGUAUUAAGUUAUCGGGCGUAUGAUCCUGGUCUUUUACUGUGAAAAAAUUAGAGUGUUUAAAGCAGGCCUUCGCCUUGAAUACAUUAGCAUGGAAUAAUAAGAUAGGACUUUGGUCUAUUUUGUUGGUUUGCAGACCGAAGUAAUGAUUAAUAGGGAUAGUUGGGGGUAUUUAUAUUCCGAUGUCAGAGGUGAAAUUCUUAGAUUUCCGGAAGAUAAACUUAUGCGAAAGCAUUUACCAAGGAUGUUUUCAUUAA
rnacentral:rRNA from 1 species